CGGCGGCGGCGAGGAGGGGCGCGGCGCGGGGGGAGCUCGCCAUUAUUGAGCUCUUCUUGGAGGUUGGCGGAUGAGCGAGUGAGCAGUGAGCUCAGCUCGGGUGGAGUACACAGUGGCACAGUGUGUGUGUUGGCUCUUUGCUUGGUCACUUGGGUGAUUGCUUUGUAUACUACUCUACUGAUCAACACCAACUUAUAUAAGGAGAGAAAAACUAUUAUAAAUUUGGAAAUGAGAGAAUUU
rnacentral:lncRNA from 1 species